CCUACGGGAGGCAGCAGUGGGGGAUAUUGGACAAUGGGGGAAACCCUGAUCCAGCGACGCCGCGUGAGUGAAGAAGUAUUUCGGUAUGUAAAGCUCUAUCAGCAGGGAAGAAAGAAAUGACGGUACCUGAGUAAGAAGCCCCGGCUAACGACGUGCCAGCAGCCGCGUGAAUACGUAGGGGGCAAGCGUUAUCCGGAAUUACUGGGUGUAAAGGGAGCGUAGACGGUAAUGCAAGUCUGGAGUGAAAGGCGGGGGCCCAACCCCCGGACUGCUCUGGAAACUGUGUAACUGGAGUGCAGGAGAGGCAGGCGGAAUUCCUAGUGUAGCGGUGAAAUGCGUAGAUAUUAGGAGGAACACCAGUGGCGAAGGCGGCCUGCUGGACUGUAACUGACGUUGAGGCUCGAAAGCGUGGGGAGCAAACAGGAUUAGAUACCCGAGUAGUC
rnacentral:rRNA from 1 species